GUGAAUCAUCAAAUUUUUGAACGCAAAUUGCGCUUCCUAGCAUCCCGGGAAGUAUGCCUGUUUGAGGGUCAGUAUUAACAAAAAAAUCGGUUUGGUUGCAAAUUGUGCCGUUUCCGGAGUUUGGGCUAUCUUAACUUUUUUGGUUAAGGGGCUUAAAAUUGACCUUUUUUGCGCAUUUUUAGACGUACAUAAAUUUUUUUUUUUUUUUGUAUAUUUUUUACGCAGAUCUUUUUUUAGAUGAGAU
rnacentral:misc_RNA from 1 species